GAUUGUCGGAUCGAAUCGGAUAUCCGGUAAAAUAUACUGAUUUUGCCGGAUAUCCAAAAUAUCACGGAUCAAAUCAGAUCGAAAAAUUGAAUAUUCGUACGGAGCGGAUCGGAUCACAGUUAUCCUUAAAAUUCUGAAUAUACGUUCCGUGCCCACCCCAAUAUAGAAAGGAUUGAGGGUCAAUUCUAAACUGUCCACGUCAGCAUACAAAAUCAGCCAAUGAUAUGCAACUAUUUUGUCAUGUCAUCACUCUUUCUCGAUACUAAAUAGCAAAUGUAUCGAGUUUUAUGAAUUCUUUAAUUUUGGUUAGGGUCCAUGUAAAGUCCACCUCGCUCCUUCGUCGGUACAAGCUGCUCCGACUCCUCUCAUUCAUCACCAUCGUUUCCAAUUUCCUCAUAUCAUCGUUUCUUUGCGAUAACGACCACCCAUUCCGAACAAUUGAUUCAUGUUCUUAAUUUCUUCAUUCAUACCAGAUGUAUCAGUAUCCUUUCAUCUCCCAUUUGUUUUACCCCUAUAUAAACUGAAUCAUCUUCCUCCUUACCCACUAAUACAGAAGAAAACUGAAACAUGUAGUUGUUCAUAAACUAAAGAAACAAUCAUCACUAUUGGAGCCAUGAUCUCUAAUCCAAACAGAUCAGUUGGAGCUCAGAUAUGUCACCUCUGAAAUUGAGACCAUGAUUUGAUGGGGGGCUAGAUGGACGGCAGAGUUGACGAUGGAACCAAUGAUAAUGGGAAUGAAAGCAGAGGAGACGGCAAGAUGCUGGAUUCUUCUUUCGUUUCUAUGUCAGACAAAUAUAAGACGUUAACAGCAACUGUUCUGCUCAGUUGAAUUCAUAAUUUUCUCCUUAGCACUUUUCCCUUUUAUUUUAUUGGCUGCUAUAUCCACCUUAUCAUACUAAUACCUACUAAGAGUUGGUGAAGCUUCUUCUACAUCUACACAAAUUCAUUUGAUUUUUUUUGUCGUUGUUUGUAGGUUAUGGCUCUUUCAAGUGGUAGGAUUAUUAGGACUUCCCACUUAUAACACUCAAAUAUAUCCAUGAUUUUUUUUUUUUGAAGUACUGAUUUUAUUUGUUUUUCAUAAAAUAGAAUAUUGAUCACUCCAUCAUUUUUUUUUUUUUUUGCACUACUGAUCACUCCAUCAUAUAACCUGGAUUCGUAGAGAUCAUAAGGGUUUUGCUUUUCAAUUUUGCAGGCUGUUAUAAAAAUAGGCCUUCAAGGAGUAUAAGAGCUCAGAAUUUAUUGAUGUAUAUCUUUUGAAUGGCUUUUAUUAUUUAAUGCUAUAGUGAUCCAAGAUUACGAUGCCAUCGCAAAUAAGUAAAGACAAAACUCAUCGUCUUAUUUGUGUCCAAAUAAGUAAAGACAAAACACCACUUAUUUGUAGUGGUGGUAUCAAAGAGCUCAUUAUUAUUGGCUUGCUGAAUUAUUACGCCGUUAUGUCGCAUCUCUCCGGUAAUGAAGGGGUCUGUUUUUCAUUUUCGGUAGAUCCUUCCAUGGUUACUCAUUUAUUACAGUACUGAUAAUUCUUAACCACGUACACUUUCAGUGGUAUUGCUGUGUUGAUGGUGAUGAAACAUGCACACAAUUUGCCAGCAGAAUCCCCUAAGUAGUAGUCCUUUUUUUACAUGGGGUUUAACUUCAUAAGAAUGGAUGAUACUCAUCACAAAGGAAAGGAAGCUAUGGAGAAGGAGGAGGAGCUUCCGAAGAUGAAUUCUUUAAUGCUGACACCAUUGUCAGUGGGCUUGAAAAUGUACAUCAAUUGGUGGUGAUCGAGGAAGGUCCAGAGAUCCGCAUGCAAUGCGUUCUAGAAUUGGAGAAUUUGAUUGACACCGAGAUUGCUUUGGAGGCUGUGACCUGGAGCGUGAUCUAUUGAUGUAUUAUCGCUGAGGUAUGGCCACUUGGAGACCGUCUGGUGAGUGAUAGGUAUGGUAUGCCUGAACUCAUCAUCAUCUUGAGGUUUAUUAUGGCUGAAGGGGGAGAGAGAGAAAGAGAUAGAAAGGCUAUGGCUGUGGCAAAUACGCAAGAGCAAGUGAUAGGUAUGGAGCUAUGGGAGUGAUAAGUAUUAAGUUAAUGUUCUUCGACACCAUGUAAUUCAGUUAAUAAUUGAUGCAAGCUAAGUUUUUGUCUCAAAUUAAGUUUUCGUUGAGAGUAUUGUUGCGCUACAUUGAUUUAUAGUUAGUAGCAAUAUUUAACUGCUUUGUUGUCUC